CACGUAGGGUGCGAGCGUUGUCCGGAAUUAUUGGGCGUAAAGAGCUCGUAGGCGGUGUGUCGCGUCGGCCGUGAAAACCUGCAGCUUAACUGUGGGCGUGCGGUCGAUACGGGCAUCACUGGAGUUCGGCAGGGGAGACUGGAAUUCCUGGUGUAGCGGUGAAAUGCGUAGAUAUCUGGAGGAAUACCGGUGGCGAAGGCGGGUCUCUGGGCAGUAACUGACGCUGAGGAGCGAAAGCGUGGGG
rnacentral:rRNA from 1 species